GUGAGGACUCGGAGGAAACACGCUUUCAGGAUGACAGUCAAGCAAGUAUGUCAUACGGAGCUACCUGAAUAUUCUGCGUGUAUACUGUACGGGUUUGGGGGACUUCGCCGUCGCCGUCGUCUAGGGUACCCGAGCGUGUAUGACUUCUGCACUAACUAGAAAAG